rnacentral:lncRNA from 1 species
GUUCAGCCAAUUGACCUACAUUCACAUAUGAAAAUAAGCAAUUCAAUAUAUAAAAUAAAGUAUCAAAUAUCAGGAGAACAACCCGAUAAAAUUCACUCAAAGAGGUAAAGAGGUUCACGCAAGUGACUAGCUAAGACUAGUUUUUUAACAAAAAAAGUUCCUAAACAAGACUCUUGAACUCCAUAGGUUUUACAUUAUGGAUAUCGCUAAAUGAGAAGUAAAAAUCCUCGCCAAAUAUAAAAUAUUUCUAAUUUUCUGUCACGAUCUAAUUCCCGAACCCGAUCGUGAUGGCGCCUCUCGUGAAUACAAGGCUAGUCGAACCGACACAACAACUCUUUUAAACAAUUAAUUAACAUAAACAGUUCUAAAACAUGCUCUAGAUAACUAAAAUUUGCGUAAAUAGCGUUAAUAACAAAAGGAACCAUCCCAACACAGCCCAAACCAGGGUGUCAUAAGUCACGAGCAUCUAUAAGAGUGUAAUCACAUUUAUAAAGUCUAGAAAUACACUGAACUGGAAUAAUGAAUAACAUAGAAAAAAUGGUGCUGUGAACGCUAGCAGUCACCUCGCUAAAUUCCUUCAGCUCUGCCUUCAAACAGCCAAUACCCUCUAUCGGGUGAAUAAAUAUCUGCAGCUGCACACGAGGUGUAGGGAGUAAAGUGAGUGCUCCAACUUAGUGAGUAAUAAAGGUAAAUAAUAACUGAGCAGUAAGAAAUCACGUAAAGCAACCAACAUGUUGUAUAGAGCAGUGCACAAUCUUUUGAGAAAAUAGUGAAAAUUAUAAAAUAUUUAGAAAUAUCUUGGCUCAGUUUAAAUCUCCUUUGAAAAUGAUCUUUUCAACACUUACGAAAUGAUUUCAAACAGUUAGUGUUGUUAAGCACAGAAAAUUCGCCCCUCAGGCACAAAUACCACAAUAUAACAGGUAAAAAGGCAAGUAAAUAUGCAUGAUGAGCACAUAAAAGUACGCCCCUCAGGCAAUAUCUCAGAACAGUACCAGCCCCUCAGGCUACUUCACAAUCAUUCGUAUCAGCCCCUCGGGCUACCUGCCAACCACUCAUAUUCGUCCCGAUCACUCAGCAUAAUGGGUACCCGCGCUUGCUAUGGGUGUACAGACUCCGGAGGGGCCCCAUACGGCCCAAGCGCUAUAUUAACAUAAGGCCUGAAAGCCUUCUCACAUCACUCAUAAGGCAUGAAAGCAUCCUCACAUCACUUACAAGGCCCGAAAGCCUUCUCAUAUCACUCACAAGGCCUGAAAAGUCUCCUCAUAUCUCUCACAAGGCCUGAAAGCCUUCUCACAUCACUCAUAAGGCCGGAAAGCCUUCUCACAUCACUCACAAGGCCUGAAAGCCUCCUCACGUCACUCAACCCACCUCAUGGCAUAUAAAUGUAUCUCAGGCCCUCGACCUCAUAUCACACAGCAUAUCCUCACAUAUGGCCCUCGGCCUUACUCCGUACGAAAACCAUCACAAGCACCUCGGGCAUUUGUAAAACAUUGGUUUUCAGCCCAAAAUAUCAUCUAAAAAUAUCAAUUGAGUUUCAAAUCAGUAUAGAAAUAGUUGAGUUUGUAAAACAGUAAUUAUCAACAGACCGAGUCAAAACAGUGAGAAAAUAGUGAUAAAAAUUCCGAAGGGUCCAAAUAAUUGGCACGAAGCACAAAUAUAGAACUAAGCCCAAGUCAUGAUGAUAACAAUUAAGUCACAGCUAAAUACAUGGUAAAACAUCAAUCGGGAUGGACCAAGUCACAAUCCCCACUAGUAAACGACCAAGCACUUAUCACUUAGCUCGUGUCUCACCUCAAUAUAGCACUACGUUGUACAAUCCGAGGUUUCAAACCCUAAGGAUAUCAUUUACGAUCAUUACUCACCUUGAACCGGCAAAAUCUCUAGCUCGCGAGCCUUUGCCCCUCAAAUCGGCCUUCACGCGCGUCGAAUCUAUCCAAAAUCAGAACGAAUACAUCACAAUAUGCUAAGGGAAUAAAGCCCAAGCGAAAACAAUCAAGAAAUAUCAAAAAUUCUGAAAUUAACAAAACCCGAGCCCUGGGCCCACUUCUCGAAACUCAAAAAUUUCACAUCAACGGAUUUCUUAUUUUGCCAUGAGUUCAUACAUAUCAAAAUCACAAGAAUUGGAGUGCAAUGGACCUUUCAAAUCCUUAAUUUAUGCUCUCUUAAGUUCAAGUCUUAAACCACCAUUUUUGUCCAUUAAUUCCUUAAUUUUCAGUCCUAAUUCAUGUAAUAACACCAUAGAAUUGUGUUUUAGGUCAAAAGUCCUUACCUCAUCGAAGCUCCUUGGAAUCCCUCUUCAAUAUGCCUACAAUUCUCCAAGUCCGAAGUUAGAAAUGAGAAACCCUUCAAAAAUUCACGAAGAUGAACUUCAAUAUUUGACCAGGCGAAACCGCAUCUGCGGUCAAAUUUUCGCUUCUUCGACUUUCGCUAUGCGGUCAACCUUCCGCUUCUAUGGAAAUUCACUUAGGUCCAGGACUGCUUCUGUAGUCGAAAUCCCGCAUCUGCGGCUUUCGCUUAUGCGGACCAAGCUCCGCUUCUACGGAAAUUCUCUAAGGGCAAGACUUCGCUUCUGUGAUACCAGUGCCGCAUCUGCAAGACCGCUUAUGCGGUCUCAAAUCCGCAGAAGCGAAUAUACCAGAAGCAGCAGCAAAUUUAAAAUUUCACAAGUCCAAAACUUUCCAUUAACCAGCCAGAAUCACCCCAAGGCCCCCAGGAUCUGGACCAAAAAUACCAAUACAUCCUAGAACGUUAUUUCAACCGGUUCCAAUCAUUAAAACACCUCAACCAACAUCAAAUUACUCAAAAUUCAUCGAAUUCAUGCCUAAGUUUUCAAAAACUUUCAAAAUAUAUUUUCGAUCAAAAACCCGAUCAAACUACCUGUCACAAAUGACAUAACAAAGCUACAAAAACUCUAGGUAACCAACCCCAGAAAGCGCACAAGUAAACCGGAAGAAAAGCCAUAUAUAUUCAGAUACAACAUUACCAAAUAACUUUAUUUUGAGAAAUGAAAUAUAAAGAAUUCCAAUGAGCAGAAGUGGGCAUAAAGCAGCCAAGGCGCUAUCAACGUCUACAGGUGAGUCAUGAGAUCUGAAGUGUACAUACUCGACGUUGUGAGUCAAGAAAUUCAGGUCAUAAAGUGGUUCUUUUUAUAAAAUCAUUUUUCCAUCUUGGGUUAUCUAAUAGUUUUAAAAGAAUUCUCAACAUUGUCCGCCAAAAGGUAAAAAAUGCUUUCUAAGUUGAGUCAUUUCCUUUACAUAUAUUCCGACUCUUACCCCAUAUCACUUAUUUCAACUGUCAGCACUCAGCAUCUAAUAUGCAGAAAAUAUCACCAAAUCACUAUCAUCAUACCUUAUCUUCCGCGCCGUACAAUUAUCAUAGCUCAACUAGUUCUAUACCCAAUCAGACACUAAAAAUCAUGGAGAAAAUUAUUUCUCAAAGGACAACAUUUUUUACACAAAAAAAUUACUCCUCUGCCCCAAUUUAUGCAGCACACUCUCAUUUUUAGUCGGUCCAAGAAGAAUAACUAUAUUUAAAAAUAAUUUAAUUUUAAAAUUUUUAUUUUAUCCUUAAUCAGAUGAUUUACCUUCAUACAAAUAUUUACAACUUAUUUUAGACCACAAGUUUUAAAGUCUUUUUUUUUUCUAAACUUACUGCCCAGACAUGGAGGGAGUAUCACCAAUGCCGGCCAAAGGGUGAAGGCGACUAAAGCAAUUGCUUUAGACCUCAAUAUUUGAAGUCCCCAAAAUAUGUUAUACAUAAUUUAUAAAAUUAAGUAUCAUUUACAAAAAUUUAAAAUUUUUAUUACUGUAUUAUUGUUUAACCUUGAAUAUUUUGUAAAACAUAAGUAAAGUCUAGGUAAGUAGAGUUACUUGAACAGCCGGUUAACGGUCCAGGUGUGUGCAACAUGAUCCGAAUGAAAUAUAUACAAAUACAGAAUUUAAUGCAUCUUAUUAAGGCACAAAUUUUAUUGAGCCAAAACAUUGUAUGUUGUUUGAGGCCGAAAGAAUCACAAUUAGUAACAAUUAUCAGUCAUUAAGUAGUGAAUUUGACGGGAAGAAAGAGAUAAACACCUUGAACCGCUGUUUCCUGAGCCUCACAGACGACUCGUCGUCCACCACGGCGAACGGAUUUUGACUGUGAGCUGAGGGAGACCGGCGACCGGACCGGCUGGAACUUAAGUCCUCUGAACUAAGAAAAAUUAACUGAGGAGCGACGGCCGGAGGACGAAGAAGAAUCCGCUAUAGGAGCCAAACGCGCCGAUGAGAAAGCGGAUGCGCGUGGAACUGCAAUGGUUUCCAACACACCAGCCAUUGAAAUAGUAGAGAGAGAAACGGCGAUGUGUAAGAGAGAGAGUACUGAUUUUAAUUAAAAAAAUUUACAGAGAAAAUGUUAGUGAGAGGGAGGUCUGUGGUUCAGUGGAGUUUGUUCUGUUUUUGUGAGAUUUCACAUGAUACGAAUAUCCGGUCGUUAGGAU